UAUACAGCGCAUGUAUAUAUAAACACAGGGUCAAGUGACCCAAACCCAAAACUCUCUUGACCAACUCUAUGGGAGAUUAGGUUAACCCAAGCCCAUGUACACCCAUGACUCGACCUAAUCUCACCUAUCCUGGGCCCAGACUUGGUCCAUAAAGAGUUGGUCUCUUGAGGCCCACAUAACCUAGACCUCAAGAACCCGAAAGGCCCACAGCCUUUCAACCUAGGGCCCAACUAGCCCUAGAGCCUCCAUAAAGCCCUCAUGAAUGAUGGACCUUGGCCUUAGCCUUGGUCCCCUGGGCCUUGG
rnacentral:lncRNA from 1 species